AUUUGAACCAUCCAUCGUUUUUCUCUAUACAUAAUAAACCCCUACCCGAACGAAAACUCAGCCAUGCCUACACCGCAUCAAAACAGAAAAAGGUCCCAUUCCGCUACCUCGCAGUGCCUUGUAAGACCACGCCGAUCCUCCACUUGAGCUCCCUUUCUUGUUCCACCCACCAUUGUUGGCUUGAGCCAGUUGUGCCUUUUUCGCACUUAAAGCGUUACUUAGUUCUUCCCAAGGGUCCACUUUCCCAUUUUCUGCAAUUUACAUACGGUUCAAUGAAGUAAAGUAAGUUCUAUGUCAACAAAAUAUCGCACUAAAGUUGCAGGAAACGUACCUUUUACAGGGGUUUGCAAACCGUUGUCUGUGCUCGGCUUUAGAUUUGUAGCUGUUUGGACAGGUUUGAGCGGUGCUGACUUGGCUGCUUCUGCGGUAUCUGAGCUGCUGCUAGUUUUGAUGCAGCGGACAUCAAGCAGAGAAGAAAAUUCUAUCUGCAGAAGCAAGGUCUUUCUUAUAUAAGAAUGCUAAUACGUAGCAAGCAAACAACUACAAGAACCAGAACUGUGUUCUUGUUUCUUUAGAUCACAAUCUUAUAGUGUAAAGUUUACACUGUAAACCAUGAAGCGUACCUCCAAAGAUCCGUCUUCUUUAUAAAGAGACGUAUCAGGUUGCAUUGAGGAAUCAUCGGUGUCCUCUUCUGUCUUCUUCUCGAUUGGAUAUUCUUCAACAGGCAUCAAAGUCACCUUCUUGGAUUCUGGAUCAUAGUUGCUUAUCUUUCCAACCUACCAAGAGAUUAAAUAUGUUGUAAAGGGCUCAAAGAAAGAGUUGAUUGUUUGAGUGGCUCAAAAGGGGUGUCAGAGAUUUUACUCGAAAGGAGGAAACUUCAGGAGUCCAAGACGAUGUUAGCUCAAUGAGGCGGUAUGCAAUAACAUCUCCUUUCUGAAACAUUCACAAAUCAGGAGUUUAUAUAUGCUGAGAACCUAUAGAGAACUGUGGGUAGCAAACCUUUACGGAGCCAGAGUAAGCCACAAGCUGUUCAAAGUCGAUCUGACCCUUAGCAACUGUCUCUGCCUCAGCUGGCUCGGUCUGAUAAGUAUCUUCAUCCAUAUCCUGAGCAUAUCGUUUGGACAAUCCUGCCUUCUCUCUUCCCCAUUUUUGGCCUUUCUUCUUCGUCAUGUUUCCAUUCCACACAAAAUUUUCCUAACAUUUUAGAAGUCAUGAUCAGACAAAGCUUAAGGAUACAAAUAUAGGGUGAAGUCAUACCGCAGGAGGUGCAAUUUCUUCAGCAGAAGCUUGAUCUGUUUUAUCUGAAAAGUAAGCAUAGAAGACAAGAAGUGAGGAGCGCCAAAAGCAAAUGCACAAAAGUUCUGCAGAGAGACAAUUUACCGAGCGGCUCGAAGCGAAUGUGGCCUGGCCUCACUUCCACAGGAACAACUUCAUCCCCAACGCCAUCACCAUUUUCAUCUGGCUUCUGAGUUUCCAGAGCUUCAGAGCGAUUUUCCUUGGUUACUUGGUGGUUUGUAGUGAAAGCUGGUUUUUGGUUGGGUGCUACAACCAUCUGCUUCUGUUUAAGCUGCAAAUACUGUAACAAGAAAGAAGGUAUUAUUAUUUGCUAAUCGAGUGAUAGAUACAUAAGUCUUUUAUCAUUUUAAGUUGUGAAGCAUCUGAAGACGAACCUCUUCCUUCUCUU